UACGUAGGGGGCAAGCGUUGUCCGGAUUUAUUGGGCGUAAAGAGCUCGUAGGCGGCUCGGUAAGUCGGAUGUGAAACCUCCAGCUCAACCUGGAGACGCCAUCUGAUACUGCCGCGGCUCGAGCACUGUAGAGGCAGGCGGAAUUCCGGGUGUAGGCGGUGGAAUGCGUAGAGAUCCGGAAGAACACCGGUGGCGAAGGCGGCCUGACUGG
rnacentral:rRNA from 1 species